UCUGUGAACGUCAACUAAUAACUACAGUCAUUUUCACUGGGAUGCUGGCCUCGGCUAGUGGGACUGCUGCCAUUAUUUUGUAUUGCUGUAACAGUCACCGGUCACACUGACUUUGUCUCUGAACACAACCCUGGGCUUGUUUGUGAUUAACAGUGUCAAUCUGCAGGAGAAAGAUCCUUGGUCUCUGAACUUCAUGAGAGGAGUUAAAAAAAAAAAAUUGCAGACUGAGGUACCCAGUAUAAACCAUGAGGAGAAUCCUGUGGAAGUCUUUUCACCACCUUUUGGACGCAAGGAGUGCGCUUACUCAUGACAGUGGAGUGAGGCUAGCCAAGGUCAGAACUGCAGAGAUGGCAGGUGUGUAUGUGCUGGGUGAGGCCAGCUUGUUGAAUGUUGCCAUGGCCCGUCCUCCUCAUUCGCCUCUG
rnacentral:lncRNA from 1 species